UACGGAGGGGGCAAGCGUUGUUCGGAAUUACUGGGCGUAAAGGGCACGUAGGCGGCUUUGCAAGUUAGAGGUGAAAGCCCGGGGCUCAACUCCGGAAUUGCCUUUAAAACUGCAUCGCUAGAAUUGUGGAGAGGUAAGUGGAAUUCCGAGUGUAGAGGUGAAAUUCGUAGAUAUUCGGAAGAACACCAGUGGCGAAGGCGACUUACUGGACAGAUAUUGACGCUGAGGUGCGAAAGCGUGGGGAGCAAACAGG
rnacentral:rRNA from 1 species